rnacentral:lncRNA from 1 species
AAGGAGAUGACAAUGGUCUAUCGAUUAGCUGGUUUCCGACAGCCGUCGGUAGGAUUUGUAGAGGAGAGCGCCAGAAGGGGUGUAAGUGAAAUUAAGGUAAACUUAAGGGGAUGUCCGUACAAUUUUCUUUAAUUAAAAUCAAGGAUAAUUUUGUCAUUUCAAAAAAAUAAUACAUCACAUGAGGGUCAUGUGACAACAUUCCAUUAAUAGAGAU